UUCAAUUAGAUUUUAACUUCUGUGUGUGGUUUUCCAGUCAUGUGACAUAAAAGUAGGUAUCCUCAAUUAUCAGCAUUUCCUUUUCUGUAGUCCUAGUUAAUUUUUAAUUUUUUUUCCAUUCAGGCUUUUAGAGGCAUUCUAUUGUUUUUGGUGAAUGCUAGUAAUAAAUAUUUCUACGUUAUUUUCCUGCCAACUCAUCUUUUAUUCAUAGUGCUGAUGAAAACAAUCCUCUCUGAAAUUUCUUUUGCUCAAAAAGUUCAGAAACUUUACAAAUGCAAUAGAUUUCUUUUCAGCUUGGUGUGAAUAUUUUCUAUUGCUUUGCUAAACAUUUUUGAAGAAACUAGAAAUUGUAAAGUUCUGCUUUUUAAGUGAAGCAGUAGGAAGCAACCUCAUACAUAUAGCAGCAAGUGGACCAGCUCUUUAUUUUUGUCAUUUCAAGAUGCCAAUAUUGUACUAAAAACACAUACGGCUACUUUUUUAAAAAUAAUAAUUAAAAAAAAAUUCUGUCAUGGAGUGGAAAAUGCACUGUUGUGCUCUCUCGUGGUCACAUGGAAGUUUACCACCGUAAGAUCCUGGGAUAUUGUCCAGAGUCAAUUGACCUCUACUUGAAACACUUGAAAUGGGUAAGAGUCUGAAACUUCUAUAUGCAUGCAUUCUAUUUGCAGAGGAGAUGCAGCUGUAGAUGUGCAGUACUCAUCAUGACUCUAGGGAUUACAAAUCUAUCAUCUAAUGGUGAUGAAAGAAUAUUUUAACUAUUAGCUGAUAGUGUAUUUUUAACAUUGGGUUUUUGAACUUUUUUUUUAGCAGUAAUGGUUUAGAUCAAUAAUCUAUUGAUGGCUUAUUCAAGCUGAAAGUUUUUAUUCGUCCUCACCAAACAAGGUAUUUCCAUUGUUCAUUAUUAUGUGCAGCUUCCAUUUCAACUCUGAACUCAUAAAUCAUAAAUGAAUGUGAAGUAUUCAUUUCUCUCUUUCAGCACUACCUUUAUCUAAUAUUUGCUGACAGGGCUCAUUGUAACUUAUUUUUGAGCACAAUCAGACCUUGUUUUAUGAACAGAAUUCAUUGUUGGAAAGGAUUCUAUAAAUAGAACUUAAGGGGCACCAAAAUGAGAAAUUCUACCUCAUUAGCAUCUUAACUGGAAAAAUCUGAUCUAAUACACAGGAAUUUUGAGCUGAUGAAAUACAAGCAAAUCUCAAAAUUGGUUCUAAAGGGUUAUGCUGUGAAUGGACUGUUAUGUUACUGUUUAGGGUGAUAGAAAGAAAAGGGAUUCAAGGUAGUAUAUAUUAGAAUAAGAGGAGAAAAAAACAACGUUGAUAUUACAGAAAAAGUAUGUAUACAGUGGGUUAUCUUCUGGUAUUUUGAGUUGUCUUCCUCAGGUGAGGCUUACGUGAAAUUAAAUCCUGUAAUAAAAUAGCUCUGCUUAUCUUCCUCAUAUGUAAGAGACAGAGAUGUCUCCUCUAGCAAUGCUAGGUACUGAAGUGGUAAAGCAAAUUUAUGGAGAAGUGAUUCUAUUUCAGCAUCUCAAGGAGGAUUACUAAUGGAAAAUAUAUUAAUCCUCUAAACUAUCUAGUCUCGUGGAAGACUAAAGGCUUAUUGCAUCAGCCUAGAAAUAUGUCCUCUGGGGACAACAUGAGGAUCUGUGCACAAGUUCUGUGUUGAAUGUGCCUGGCACAUAGUACCUUCCAGAAGUUGAAAGUCUGGUGCUAGGGCAUGCAUGAAGACUUUGUCCUAGCUCUUCCCAUACUGGGUGACUUCAAAUGUGGCUGGAUACCAAAUUAAGUCAGGAUAUUAUUUCAUGAUAAUAAAACUAAUUUCAUGAUAAUAAAACUAACUCAUUUCUUUACUUCCUCUUUCCCCAGCGAGAAACAAAGUAUGCUGACCAUGCAGAGAAAGACCCUAUUAUCUUGAGACACAGUUCUUCACAUAUUCAGCUUGUGGUACUCUCCCGCAGUGAGAACAGAUUGACUGUUCAAGAAGACCUGUGAGAUACUGUCCUGAGUUACGGUCACUACUGAGUCUCUACUGAUAUCAGCAGUUCUAGCACUGAAAAGAGCUGAGCCUUUGCAACUCAUAGAGAUAUGAAGACAUAAUCAGUGAGCAACUGUAUCUUUAUUCUAUUUCUGUGUGCCAUUCACAAUUACUGAUUUGACAUAAGAAGGACCGACUACGUACCUCUCAGCCAUCACCCAAUGAAAGUGAGAUGCAGCUCCCAUCUGAUUUUUUUUCUUUUCAUACCAUUAUUGCCAGAUUUGCUGGCUAGAGAAGGAAGAGGAAGCAAUAAAAAUGCAAAACCUG